UUUACAAAAUUGGGGUGCUUUUAAAAAAGCUGAGAUUACACCCUUUGAACUUAGAACAGAUAAUGCUGUUUAAGGAAAAAGAAAUCUCAAUUU
rnacentral:ncRNA from 1 species